GAAGAUGGGAGCAAGAUUGGUGCUGGGUGGAAUAGAAUAUAUGGAUCCAUGUUUGGUAUUGGGGAGGUUCAUGUUUUUAUGGUGAGGUGCCCCUGCUAUUGACAAAUGGAUAAGUUAUUUUGGAACUAGUUUGGACCAUAAUAGUAAGAGAUAUCAGAUGCUGCUUUGGCAAUUUAGUGUAAAGUUUAAAAUGUAUCUACAACGGACUUAUGAUUUUGAGUUAGGUUUCUUGCUAUAAACCAUCCAGGAAAAACAUAAAGCAAGCAAUGGAGUUUAAGUUACAUGUCCAAAAUUUUUCAGGGGAAGCUAGUAUUUUUUUGAAAUAAUCCAAAAUCC
rnacentral:lncRNA from 1 species